rnacentral:rRNA from 1 species
UACGUAGGGUGCGAGCGUUGUCCGGAAUUAUUGGGCGUAAAGAGCUCGUAGGCGGUUUGUUGCGUCUAUCGUGAAAACCUGCGGCUUAACUGUGGGCUUGCGGUGGAUACGGGCAGACUAGAGGUAGGUAGGGGAGAAUGGAAUUCCCGGUGUAGCGGUGAAAUGCGCAGAUAUCGGGAGGAACACCGGUGGCGAAGGCGGUUCUCUGGGCCUUACCUGACGCUGAGGAGCGAAAGCGUGGGGAGCGAACAGG